GACGAACGCUGGCGGCGUCCUUAACACAUGCAAGUCGAACGGAAAGGCCCUGCUUUUGUGGGGUGCUCGAGUGGCGAACGGGUGAGUAACACGUGAGCAACCUGCCCUUGACUUUGGGAUAACUUCAGGAAACUGGGGCUAAUACCGGAUAGGAGCUCCUGCUGCAUGGUGGGGGUUGGAAAGUUUCGGCGGUUGGGGAUGGACUCGCGGCUUAUCAGCUUGUUGGUGGGGUAGUGGCUUACCAAGGCUUUGACGGGUAGCCGGCCUGAGAGGGUGACCGGCCACAUUGGGACUGAGAUACGGCCCAGACUCCUACGGGAGGCAGCAGUGGGGAAUAUUGCACAAUGGGCGGAAGCCUGAUGCAGCAACGCCGCGUGCGGGAUGACGGCCUUCGGGUUGUAAACCGCUUUCGCCUGUGACGAAGCGUGAGUGACGGUAAUGGGUAAAGAAGCACCGGCUAACUACGUG
rnacentral:rRNA from 1 species